ACGUAGGGUGCGAGCGUUAAUCGGAAUUACUGGGCGUAAAGCGUGCGCAGGCGGUUUCACAAGCUAGAUGUGAAAGCCCCGGGCUUAACCUGGGAACUGCAUUUAGGACUGUGGAGCUAGAGUGCGGCAGAGGGAGGUGGAAUUCCACGUGUAGCAGUGAAAUGCGUAGAGAUGUGGAGGAACACCGAUGGCGAAGGCAGCCUCCUGGGCCGACACUGACGCUCAUGCACGAAAGCGUGGGGAGCAAACAGGA
rnacentral:rRNA from 1 species